rnacentral:lncRNA from 1 species
UAGCAAUAGUUGUUUUAGAAUCCGAUGACGCAAAUGUCUCGAAAAACACCAAGCAGUCAAUAGAACACUUUCAGCAGAGAAACGCGUGCAAACAUCAUCAUUUCUCAGCGGGGUGGCAGACAUCUUGAAAUGCUUUUUGCUUGAGUUCAGUCGACAUUUUACCACGGAGCUGAUCCGGUACCGCCUCUUUUUUGCCGCGAAUCACACCCAAAAACUCCCGCUGCAGUAUGCAGGCCUUGCGAGGUCAGAGAGUUGGACAGAUUCCUCUGAUCUCUGGAGAAGCACUUCGAUAUACAGGUGAUGCACUGAUGUACCACCUCCCUGCACCAAACUCCAGUCAAUAUGAAAGCCCAGCUGCAGAUCUGGAUAUAUAUCAGCGCAGUGCAGCACAAAAUGGAAACUUGGGUCUUCAAUAUUACAGCUUUACAGGCCAGGGUAGAAAUGGCAUUCCUGUAUUUCACAAUGCUAGCUCCUAUCAGCAGCAAGUGACAUGGAGAGAAUAUGGAGCACGUAACUAUGGGUACUAUCAAAAUGUGCCAUCAUGGACCAGCUGGUGUCCUUCAACAUACACAUACUAUAGCAAUGAAAGUGCUUCUCAGCCCUAUGGAAAUCAGUUCCAGCCAGCUCUGAACUCUGUUCAAUACCAAGGAAAUGGAACCUGCUAUUCUACAGGCAACAAUUACCAGAGCUCUUAUGCUUAUAGCAGUGGAUACCCUGUGCCUCUGAUAAACUCUUAUCAUCUGGGACACCAGCUGUCUAGACCCAGCAACACUGUCUUAACUUAUCAAAACCUAAAUGAUCAUAUCCAGCCCAGACUUCAAGAAAGAAAACCCUCACAGAUAAGCCCCACGGUACCUAUCUCAAAUAAGAAAAAACCCUACAUGGAUCCUACAUCAGUCGAUAACUACAAACCUCAGGCCUUUGACAUGAUUGUCAAUAGUUUAGAAAGGGAAAUAGAAAUUCUGUCCAAGAAGCCUCUUUUACCUGACAAAGUGAAGAGCAUUGAUACAGUAUCUGCAGCAAAACCUCAUUUUGUUGGUACUGAGAAGGAAAUCUCAGUCACUCCCAUACUUCAGGAAGAGAAACAGAACUUAACCCAGAUCUUGGCUCACAGGUGUGACAUUUCUGAACAGAGGGACAGCCAGGGAAUCAGUCAAGGCCAUGAAGAAAAUUCCCAGGAGCAGAUUAAUUCCAGCAUCAUGACUUUGGAUGAUGGUUUGUGUUGUUCUCAGAGCCCUGAGAUUAGUUGUAAGGAAGAAAUAGAAGGACUCCAACGGGAUGCUGACUUGGGAUGUGGGGACAUCAACGCUGCAGCCAAGAAGACUGUAAAUAAUAUCACAUCACUUGGUCUUCCAGAAGAUCUCCUCUCUGCAAAUUAUGACUGCUCCAUUGUAUCAGCUAUGAUCUCUACAAUGAAUUAUUUUUAUAACAUUAAUGCUUCUGAUGUCCCCAGUGACACAGAUGAUAGCCUAAAACAAUACUUUACACAUCAGAGGAAGAGAAGGAGGGAUGAUUAUGAAGAGAGACUACGAUCAAACACCUCAAACCUUUCUAAAAACUCUAGAAAUGAUAUGCAGACAACUCUGAUUAACACAAUAAAGACAGAAACACAAAGGCAUCCUCAUGGAAUAACAGAAAAACAUGGACCUCCAAAAAUCCAAAACAUAUACCGCAAGACAUUAAAGAGAAAAGGGGCAUUUUCAGAAACUGGAUUUUUGGCAAAAAGAGCUAAGUUUGGAGAUCAUGCAGCUCUCCGGGCUUUCAAAAAAUUGUGCUGGCGUCAAAUGUAACUCAAGAACAUUAUGAAAGUGAAGAUUUAUUAUAUAUUUUAUGGGUAUUUCUUAAUAAGUAAUUUAAAUUUUAAUUCAGUUGAUAUACAUAAAUAUUUAGAACUACCAAUAUAAAGAUUUGUUCUUAAUGUACACGAAAAUGGGUUUACACACUUUGUAUGACAUUUUAAUAAACCAUUGAAUUUCAAUAAGUGCUG